GAUGAACGCUGGCGGCGUGCCUAAUACAUGCAAGUCGAGCGAACAGACGAGGAGCUUGCUCCUCUGACGUUAGCGGCGGACGGGUGAGUAACACGUGGAUAACCUACCUAUAAGACUGGGAUAACUUCGGGAAACCGGAGCUAAUACCGGAUAAUAUAUUGAACCGCAUGGUUCAAUAGUGAAAGACGGUUUUGCUGUCACUUAUAGAUGGAUCCGCGCCGCAUUAGCUAGUUGGUAAGGUAACGGCUUACCAAGGCGACAAUGCGUAGCCGACCUGAGAGGGUGAUCGGCCACACUGGAACUGAGACGCGGUCCAGACUCCUACGGGAGGCAGCAGUAGGGAAUCUUCCGCAAUGGGCGAAAGCCUGACGGAGCAACGCCGCGUGAGUGAUGAAGGUCUUCGGAUCGUAAAACUCUGUUAUUAGGGAAGAACAAAUGUGUAAGUAACUAUGCACGUCUUGACGGUACCUAAUCAGAAAGCCACGGCUAACUACGUG
rnacentral:rRNA from 1 species